GAGUCUGAUACACCGCAAGAUGAUACUGCCAAGGGUUGGUCGGGAAUUCAGGCAAUUCCGAGAUCUAUUUGGCUUGAUGUUAAUGGCCGACAACUCGUGCAAUGGCCUAUCAAGGAGCUCGAUGCACUCAGAGGGAAGGGAAUUCAUUUGUACAAUACUGUUGUGAAAAGCAGAAGCCAUGAUGAAAUCAAAGGGAUUAGUUC
rnacentral:misc_RNA from 1 species